UACGUAGGCAGCGAGCGUUGUUCGGAGUUACUGGGCGUAAAGGGUGUGUAGGCGGUUUUCUAAGUUUGGUGUGAAAUCUCCCGGCUCAACCGGGAGGGUGCGCCGAAAACUGGGAGACUAGAGUGCGGGAUGGGAGAGUAGAAUUCCUGGUGUAGCGGUGAAAUGCGUAGAUAUCAGGAGGAAUACCGGGGGUAGAGACGGCUCUGUGGACCGCCACUGACGCUGAGACACGAAAGCGUGGGUAGCAAACAGG
rnacentral:rRNA from 1 species